CAGAAGCAUUAGGGAAAAUUUUCCUCUGAUAGUCACUGCGAGAUCCUGGUAAAGCUCCAAAGGUGACACACUGUGAUUCAGAGGAAGGCCAAACAGGAACUGGCAGCCUGGAGAAAGACAAAGGAAAUCAUAGAGAGAUGCAACACUUUCAGCCCAGGGAAAGAUCACUGGCAUAAAAAUUUAAGGAUGAAACACAGUGUCAAGCAAGAUGGACAGUCUAGGACCAAGGAAUAAAGCUGGUUCCUUGGAGAGAAGAGCAACUCAGAAUCAAGUCAGCAAAC